rnacentral:rRNA from 1 species
AUUGCGAANGCAGCUUGCUGGACUGUAACUGACGCUGAGGCACGAAAGCGUGGGGAUCAAACAGGAUUAGAUACCNNGGUAGNCCACGCCGUAAACGAUGAAUGCUAGCUGUUAGCGAUAUACUGUUAGCGGCACAGAGAAAUCGUUAAGCAUUCCACCUGGGGAGUACGCCGGCAACGGUGAAACUCAAAGGAAUUGACGGGGGCCCGCACAAGCGGAGGAACAUGUGGUUUAAUUCGAUGAUACGCGAGGAACCUUACCUGGGCUUAAAUUGCAGUGGAAUAACGUGGAAACAUGUUAGCCUUCGGGCCGCUGUGAAGGUGCUGCAUGGUUGUCGUCAGCUCGUGCCGUGAGGUGUCGGCUUAAGUGCCAUAACGAGCGCAACCCUCAUCGAUAGUUACUAACAGGUUAAGCUGAGGACUCUAUCGAGACUGCCGACGUAAGUCGUGAGGAAGGUGGGGAUGACGUCAAAUCAGCACGGCCCUUACGUCCAGGGCUACACACGUGUUACAAUGGGGGGUACAAAGGGCAGCUACCUGGCGACAGGAUGCUAAUCUCAAAAACCUCUCUCAGUUCGGAUUGGAGUCUGCAACCCGACUCCAUGAAGCUGGAUUCGCUAGUAAUCGCGCAUCAGCCACGGCGCGGUGAAUACGUUCCCGGGCCUUGUACACACCGCCCGUCAAGCCAUGGGAGCCGGGGGGACCUGAAGUAUGCAACCGUAAGGAGCGUCCUAGGGUAAAACUGGUGACUGGGGCU